CCAAUAGCGUAUAUUAAAGUUGUUGCUGUUAAAAAGCUCGUAGUUGAACUUCGGGAUUUGCCCAUUGGUCAGGCUUAACUGUCUGCACUGGUGUGACGAGUUCCUAUCUUCUGAGGAAUCUCAAUGUCAUUCAGUUGGUGUGGGGGGAAAUAAGGACUGUUCCUUUGAAAAAAUUAGUGUGUUUAAAGCAGGCAUCCGUCUGAAUACAUUAGCAUGGAAUAAUAAAAUAGGACGGUUUGGUUCUAUUUUGUUGGUUUCUAGGAUCACCGUAAUUAUGAAUAGGGAUAGUUGGGGGCAUUAGUAUUCAAUUGUCAGAGGUGAAAUUCUUGGAUUUAUUGAAGACUAACUACUGCGAAAGCAUUUGCCAAGGAUGUUUUCAUUAAUCAAGAACAAAAGUUAGGGGAUCGAAGACGAUCAGAUACCGUCGUAGUCUUAACCGUAAACUAUGCCGACUAGGGAUCGGACGAAGUUAAUUUUUUAAUGACUCGUUCAGCACCUUACG
rnacentral:rRNA from 1 species